GAAUCUGAACCCAAAAGGUUGGGCAUCUAGCUGAUAAUUAGAUUGUUUGAGGUUCAAUUCCUCUCAAAUUCU
rnacentral:tRNA from 1 species